AUUGAACGCUGGCGGCAGGCCUAACACAUGCAAGUCGAACGAGUGGCGGACGGGUGAGUAAUGUCUGGGAAACUGCCUGAUGGAGGGGGAUAACUACUGGAAACGGUAGCUAAUACCGCAUACCAUCAGAUGUGCCCAGAUGGGCUUAGCUAGUUGGUGUGGUAACGGCUCACCAAGGAGACGAUCCCUAGCUGGUCUGAGAGGAUGACCAGCUACAUUGGACAGUAUACACGGUCCAGACUCCUACGGGAGGCAGCUGGGGGGAAUAUUGCACAAUGGGCGCAAGCCUGAUGCAGCCAUGCCGCGUGUAGGAAGAAGGCCUUCGGGUUGUAAAGUACUUUCAGCGGGGAGGCGUUACCCGCAGAAGAAGCACCGGCUAACUCCGUGCCAGCCGCCGCGGUAAUUC
rnacentral:rRNA from 1 species